AGGACGAACGCUGGCGGCGUGCCUAACACAUGCAAGUCGAACGGAGUAAGGGUUCGAUUCUUACUUAGUGGCGAACGGGUGAGUAACGCGUGAACAGCCUGCCUUCCUGAGGGGGGAUAACACCUGGAAACAAGUGCUAAUACCGCAUAAGACCACAUAUCCGCAUGGAUGAGGGGUCAAAGGAGCAAUCCGCAGGGAGAGGGGUUCGCGUCCCAUUAGCUAGUUGGCGGGGCAACGGCCCACCAAGGCGACGAUGGGUAGCCGAGCUGAGAGGCUGAUCGGCCACACUGGAACUGAGACACGGUCCAGACUCCUACGGGAGGCAGCAGUGGGGAAUAUUGGGCAAUGGGCGCAAGCCUGACCCAAGCAACGCCGCGUGAGGGAAGAAGGUCUUCGGAUUGUAAACCUCUGUCCUAUGUGACGAAGGAAGUGACGGUAGCAUAGGAGGAAGCCCCGGCUAACUACGUGCCAGCCGCUGC
rnacentral:rRNA from 1 species